CAUCAAUAUCACGAGAUAAACCGACGCAAACAAGUAGAACAAAAACGUCGGAAAACAAACCCUAAUUCGCGAAAUGGAAUCGUCCAACAUUUUUUAUCAGUAUCUUGAACCACUCGUCGGCAAUGCGAAGAGAUUAUAAUCCCCAACCAUGCGUUGUAGACGGGUAUACGCGUUGCUUUAUUUUGCGAGGCUCCCUUAGGGUAUAAAGCACUGGUCACCCAUUUUAAUUAGGUUAUGUUUUAUAGAAUUAUCUUUAAUGUCCUAUUUUUAGCAAGUUUUAGUUUAUUAUUUAAUCUGAAAUUAAUUGUUAUUCUAUUAUAGGUACAGUUUCAAUUAGGAAUAUCAGCAGCAAUUAGUGCCAAGGCAAAGGGUUUUUUAAAGCUCCUACACCAAAAAAAGAUGAUAAAGUUCAUGCACUUUAUGUUAGAUGUUGUCAUGGUACUAGCCCAAAUAAAAAAUGCCACAAUAGCUGAUGUUGCAGUUUCGAUCAAUGCUGCUUCCAAAAAGAAAGUACAAUAAUAAAUAAUAAAAAAUAAAACAAAAUUAUACAUUACAACCUAAUAUUUUUUUUUUUAUUAAAAUACAAAAUAUAUACCAAAUUGGAAAAUGAGUGUGUGUACUCUAUUAUUUUUUUUUUUUUUUUGGUUUCAGACAUAUGACACCAAAAUUGCAAAGCCUUAGACUAUUGUCUUGAGUUCAAUGGUGAAACCCUUAAUGAGGAAGGGAAUAUUGAAAAAUUUAUGGAUGAACUCCUGAAUUCAUUGGAUGCCAAUCUCAAUGGCUGAUUUUCUGACAUGAACGAAGAUUUUGGAGAACAAAAAGGUAGAUAUUUUAUUCAACAAUUUAAUCAGGUACUAGAACGCAGUGGUGUUGCUAUUGAUGAGGUGGAACCAGAGUGGGAUAUACUCAAAGCCAUGGUUUGACAAGUACGAAAACUAUGUAAAACAAGCCAACUGGAAGGAGGUUGUGCCCGCAGUCAUAACUGAGCUACCCAACAUCUGCGCAGGGUUGACCUGAUGCUUACCAUACCUGCCAGUUCUGCUGAUACUGAAAGAGGCUUCAGCAGUAUGAAGCAGGUGAAAACUGAACAUAGAACAAGGCUGAAAGAUGACAGGGUGUCAGAUCUGCUGCAGUUAUGCUUCAAGCGCCUCCAGUGGAGAAUUUUGAUCCUAUUCCUCCUAUCAACUUGUGAAAUAUCAGUGGCAGUCGUUGAAGGCGAUUUGCGAGGGUAGGGGGUGCUGCUGGAUAUGCCACAACAAAUCGUUUUGAGGACUCUAGUAGCAGUGAUUCAGAUUCUAGUAGUACUAGUAGUUAUAGUGAUAACAAUUAUGCCGAACACAACUUGCUUGAUUGAGGUUUAAUCCUUAUGAAGUCCUACACUUAAAUUAAAUUUCUAUGUCUGUGUUCAGUGAUGCACAUUAUAUCAAAAUAAAUGUAAAUAUGUGAAGUAAACUAAUUAAAAAUGAUAUAUUUGCUGUGUAUAACAAGGACAGUGUGUUUAUUUUAAUUAAUGCAAUGUAAUACAAAAUAGUGUGGCUAGUGAAAUGGAUUCAGGACCAGUAAAAUUGUUAAAGUUCCUGGUCCACUUGGCUAGUAAAAAACAACUCCUGCUAAGGUCAAACAAUGGCUGUAUUCGAUUGGUCGUUCUUCGUUAAACCACGCCUACCUUCGCAGUGGUAAAAUCCUACUUAUUACGAAGACGUUGAGUCGAAUAGAAAACUGGUAAAUACUCGACAAAAAAAAAUGGCUGCAUACAGUAGUUACCGUGAUACAUGCUGCGUAAUCAAGGCUGCUUCGGAUUGUGGCAGUAUGGAUUUUUUUUGUUUUCACCAAUUUUUUGAAUUCUGUUUAGC